GGGGAUGUAGCUCAGUGGUAGAGCGCACGCUUUGCGUGUGUGAGGCCCCGUGUUCAAUCCCCGGCAUCUCCA
rfam:Ciona savignyi cont_34870, whole genome shotgun sequence.